rnacentral:rRNA from 1 species
GAUGAACGCUGGCGGCGUGCCUAAUACAUGCAAGUCGAGCGAACAGACGAGGAGCUUGCUCCUCUGACGUUAGCGGCGGACGGGUGAGUAACACGUGGAUAACCUACCUAUAAGACUGGGAUAACUUCGGGAAACCGGAGCUAAUACCGGAUAACAUGUUGAACCGCAUGGUUCAACAGUGAAAGACGGUCUUGCUGUCACUUAUAGAUGGAUCCGCGCCGCAUUAGCUAGUUGGUAAGGUAACGGCUUACCAAGGCAACGAUGCGUAGCCGACCUGAGAGGGAGAUCGCCCACACUGGAACUGAGACACGGCCCAGACUCCUGCGGGAGGCAGCAGUAGGGAAUCUUACGCAAUGGGCGAAAGCCUGACGGAGCAACGCCGCGGGAGUGAAGAAGGUCUUCGGAUCGUAAAACGCUGUUAUUAGGGAAGAACAAAUGUGUAAGUAACUAUGCACGUCUUGACGGUACCUAAUGAGAAAGCCACGGCUAACUACGUG